GGUAAUGCCGGAUGCUCCAGUUGAUCGCAUGGUCUUCUGGGAAAGCUUUCGCGGUAUGGGAUGGGGUCGCGUCCUAUCAGCUUGACGGCGGGGUAACGGCCCACCGUGGCUUCGACGGGUAGCCGGCCUGAGAGGGCGACCGGCCACAUUGGGACUGAGAUACGGCCCAGACUCCUACGGGAGGCAGCAGUGGGGAAUAUUGCACAAUGGGCGCAAGCCUGAUGCAGCGACGCCGCGUGAGGGAUGGAGGCCUUCGGGUUGUAAACCUCUUUUAUCGGGGAGCAAGCGAGAGUGAGUUUACCCGUUGAAUAAGCACCGGCUAACUACGUGCCAGCAGCCGCGGUAAUACGUAGGGUGCAAGCGUUAUCCGGAAUUAUUGGGCGUAAAGGGCUCGUAGGCGGUUCGUCGCGUCCGGUGUGAAAGUCCAUCGCUUAACGGUGGAUCCGCGCCGGGUACGGGCGGGCUUGAGUGCGGUAGGGGAGACUGGAAUUCCCGGUGUAACGGUGGAAUGUGUAGAUA
rnacentral:rRNA from 3 species